rnacentral:rRNA from 1 species
AUUGAACGCUGGCGGCAUGCCUUACACAUGCAAGUCGAACGGUAACAGGUUAAGCUGACGAGUGGCGAACGGGUGAGUAAUGUAUCGGAACGUGCCCAGUCGUGGGGGAUAACUGCUCGAAAGAGCAGCUAAUACCGCAUACGACCUGAGGGUGAAAGCGGGGGAUCGCAAGACCUCGCGCGAUUGGAGCGGCCGGUAUCAGAUUAGGUAGUUGGGGAGGUAAAGGCUCACCAAGCCGACGAUCUGUAGCUGGUCUGAGAGGACGACCAGCCACACGGGGACUGAGACACGGCCCAGACUCCUACGGGAGGCAGCAGUGGGGAAUUUUGGACAAUGGGCGCAAGCCUGAUCCAGCCAUGCCGCGUGCGGGAAGAAGGCCUUCGGGUUGUAAACCGCUUUUGUCAGGGAAGAAAAGGUCCUGGCUAAUACCUGGGACUCAUGACGGUACCUGAAGAAUAAGCACCGGCUAACUACGUGCCAGCAGCCGCCGUAAAAC